UAGGCCAAUCGAGGCUAACUAUGCUUCAGCCUCCAGUACCAAUCACGACUGGCAUCACAACUCGGCCACCACCCACCACGACUACUGAUGUCAAUAACCUCACAUUACAUUCAGAAGAUUACAAUGGUGCUGACCAGAUUCAAGUGGAAAAUGGGACAGGCUCUCUCUCAUGACUACUUGGGGAACAUCCAGCAUAGAGGUUAUGUCCGAGAUGGCCUCUACUAUUUUUCGCAGCCUUAUCAGCCAUGUCCUGCAUCAGCCUAUAUUGGUGCUUGUAUUUCAAUAGUAGUUUGGCAUCAACGCUUCGGAUAUAUUUCUUACCCUAUUGUUCAACAUGUCAUUUGCUCAAAUAAAAUCUCUGUUGCUACAAAUAAGAGACAGAAUUUAUGUCCUGACUGUCAAUUGGCAAAAAGCCAUAAUUUGCCUUUUAUCAGUCUCAUAUUACAGCUACAUGGCCUCUAAAAUUGCUUUGCUCUGAUGUCUGGGGCCAUGUGCUGAAAUUUCUACUUAUGGAUCUCUUUAUUAUGUCUGUUUUCUUGAUGAUUAUACAAAGUUCAUUUGGCUAUUUCCUUUAAAAUUGAAAUCAAAUGUUCUAUAUUUAUUCAUUUUCAAAAAAUGGUGGAAUGCCAAUUUGAUACGACCAUUAAAUCAAUAUAAACUGAUUGGGGCGGUGAAUAUAGAUGUUUAGUAGUUUUUUUAAGAACAUUAGAAUUCAACAUCGGCUUGUAUGUCCACAAACGAAUGAACAGAUGGAUGCAAUAGAAGACAACAUCUUCAAAUAGUUAAAAUAGGUCUAGCUCUUUUAGCUCAUUCCAACGUCCAAAACAAUUUUAGGAAGACGCUUUUCUAAUUGCCACUUAUAUAAUUAGCCCACAUUUGGCCCUCAUUAAAUUAAAUUUCCUUGAAAUAAUAUUACUCGUAAAUCGAAAUUUUUCUUCUUUUUUAACAAUUCAUUUUUCAAGAAAAUACUAUUCCUCCCAUUUUAAUUUGAAAAAAUGGGGGCUUAAUCAUCCCCCAACAAAAUUUUUGAAUCAAAAAUCACCCCUUUGAAUGGUAUACAAACGAAGACCAAAUUCUAAUUAUUUAUGUGUGUUUGAAUGUGCAUGUUAACCAAAUUUACAACUUUAUAAUCAUCAUAAAAUUGAUUAUUGGUUAUAGUACUUCUCUUUAGGGUUACAAAUGUCUUGAUGUAGCAACAGGAAAAAUAUUUGUCUCAUGUCAUGUUAUUUUUGAUGAAAAUUUCUUUUUGUACAAACACAUCUCUCCCACAAAAAGCCUCAUCUUCCACUCAUACCUUUCUUUCUGCUAAUCUUAGUCAAAAUCAAUCCUCUUGCUCUCCUAUUUUGUUUUAUGCAGAUACUCAAUCUCGUGUACAACACCCACUUGGAUCGACCUCCCCAUCAUUGGCAGUUCAAAAUGUUCCAACACCUGUACUAGUCAAAGCUCUCCUGAUUUAAAUCUUGGAUCAUUACCUGUUGUGACUUCUACUGAUCCAAUGGUUGACAUUGAACCUCUAGUUUGCAAGAGCCCAUUUCUUCGCAACAAAUGGUAACCAGAUCAAAGACCAACUCUCUUAAGCCUAAGAAAACACCAGUUUAUCACAUUCGUUACCCACUACCAAAGGCUCUUGUUGCAUUUCAAACAUCAGUUCAGCUGGAACCAACAUGUUAUUCGGAGGCAAUGAAAUCUUCUAAGUGGAGAUCAGCAAUGAACAAUGAAUUUGAUGCUCUUAUUCGAAACCAGACAUGGACCUUAGUGCCACCUGUAUCAAGUGUCAACAUAAUGGGUUGCAAGCGGGUGUAUCGCAUUAAAGGUCGUGAUGAUGGGCAAAUUAAACAGUUUAAAGCCCGCUUUAUUGCAAAAGGCUGUCAUCAACAUAAAGGAGUUGAUUUUUAGCCCAGUUGUAAAACCAGUUACCAUUCGUAUGGUUCUUUCCAUUGCCAUCACAAGAAACUGGCGUUUAAAACAAAUAGACAUUCGGACUGCUUUUCUACAUAGAGUACUUGAUGAAGAUGUUUACAUGAGUCAACCCCUACGUUAUGUCCAUUCUGAUUAUCCCAAUUAUUUGUGCAAAUUAAAUAGAAGUCUUUAUGGCUUAUGUCAAGCGCCACAAUCGUGGUUCUCGCGCUGCUUCUAAGAUUGGGUUUUGUAGCUUCAAAGGCUGAAACAUCUCUAUAUAUGCUACAGAAAGCCAAUUUGUAGUUAUUCUCUCUCAUUUAUGUUGAUGAUAUUAUCAUCACAGAGUCUGCAAAAUCAAAAGUAAAUAAAGUAAUUCAUGCCUAGUCUCAUACUUUUCCAGUUAAAGAACUUGGUGACCUCUCUUAUUUUCUUGGGAUUGAGGUCUUAUGUACAUCAGACGGUUUAUUUCUUACACAGAGAAAAAUAUAUUCUUGGCCUUCUCCACCGUGCUGAUCUUGACAAAGUUAAGCCAUGCACUACCUCAAUGGCUUCCACCGCUCGACUCUCCAAAUAUGUGGUACUAAGCUUGACAGUAGUUCUCUACAGAAGCAUAGUUGGAGGUCUAUGAUAUUGGAGCUUUACACGUCCAGACAUAGCUUAUGCUGUUCAUAAAGUUAGCAAAUACAUGCAUUCCCCACGGGAUGCUCACUGGGCUACUGUAAAACAUAUAUUACGCUAUCUGAAAAACACCAUCUUGAAUGGCUGAUUUCUAUCCAAAUGAUUAGCUAAUGCUUAACAUGCAUUUGCAAAUGAAGAUUGGGCAUCUGAUGGAGAUGAUCGAUGUUUUGUAGGGGUCUAUUGCAUUUUCCACUGGGAUAAUCUCAUUUGCUGGUCUUGCAAACAAGAGACAAUAGCAAAGAGUAGCACCGAGGAUGAAUACGAGGCUGUCUCUACUGCUGCUACAGAGGUUCAAUAGAUUCAGUCCUUACUCACAGAAAUCCAGCACUCAUUGUUUACUUUUCCUCAACUCUGGCGUGACAUUGGCAUGACAUACCUCUCCGUGAAUCCAAAAUUCCAUGCAAGGACAAACACAUUGAAAUUGAUGUUUAUCAUGUUCGUUAUCUUGUAUUGCAAAAGAAAUUGCAGGUUCUGAGUUUGGUCGGCAUUUUAUAGUGGAUAAAGUGCAAUCAAUGGUAGCCGGUGUACUCUUGGUCUUUAGAGGUCUUUGUGGGUCGAUUUCAAGCGUGUCACUGGUGGAAGUUUUAGCCGUCUUCUCCUUCAGAUCAUUAAUUCCAGGUGUCUAGUGGGAACUUCAUUCUUGGACUCAUUCGGUGCACAAGUUCAUUGGCUAGCAGUCGUAUUCGACGAUUUUAGAUUUGGGCUCUGGGUCUCUGUUGAUUUGAUAAAAUAUUAGAUUUGGGCUCCUUUAUUUGGACAGGGAGAAAAUUCUAUUAUUCAUUUUAAUGGAAAAAAUUACUCGAGUUGGGAAUUUCAAUUCCGGAUGUUUGUGAAAGGAAAAGAAUUAUGAAGUCAUUGGAUGGAUCUUCUACGGCACCUACUAACGCCAAAGAACUUAAUUCAUGGGAAAGUAAGGAUGCUAAGAUUGGUUGAUGGCUACUAACCAAUCUUCGUUCCUUCACUAUCGCUAAAGAAAUGUGGGAUUACCUCAAGCGUAUUUACUAUCAAGAUAAUGUGCUCAAAAGUUUCAAUUGGAGUUGGAAAUUGUCAACUACAAUCAGGGUAAUCUUUCUAUCGAUCAAUUUUAUGCUGGCUGGAUUUCUUAAUCUGUGGAGUGAAUAUUCUGGGGUAGUUCAUUCCAAAGUCCCUAAGGAAGCUUUAGUAACACUUCAUGCUAUUUAUGCUAAGAGUCAGAGAGAUCAAUUUCUGAUGAAGUUGUGACCAGAAUUUGAGACUGUGCGGGCUAAUUUACUAAACCGUACUCCGAUUCCCUCCUUAGAUGUAUGCCUGAGAGAAUUACUACGUGAGGAACGUCUUGCCACACAACUUGGGAUGAUUCCAAAAACAACUACAACUGAGAUGGUUAAUGUGGCAUAUGCUACUCAAGGGAAAGGAAAAUUCAAGACACAACUACAAUGCUACAAUUGCAAGGAGUUUGGGAAUGUUGCGAAAAAUUGCAGCAAGAAAUUUUGCAAUUACUGCAAAAAGGAAGGACAUAUUAUUAAAGACUGUUGAGUGCGGCCUCAAAUUAAACAAGGGACGACCUUUCACACUGCUGUCCAACCUAAUUCAUCCACUAUACCUCAAACUGGUUCUUCCACUACUCUUACACCUGAGAUGGUCCAACGAUGAUUGUUUCUGCUUUCACUGCUCUUGGUUUUCAAGGUAAGAAAAAUCUACUUACCUCUCCUUGAUUGGUUGAUUCGGCAGCAUCCAAUCAUAUGAUAGGUAGUAUAGAGGCCCUACAUGAUAUUCGUAAGUAUGAGGGCAAUCAAUACACUCAAAUAGCCAAUGGCAAUACUCUUCCUAUCUAAGCAAUUGAAAAUUUGGGAUCUUCUUUUACCAAUGUAUUUGUGUUACUAGAAUUAUUUACGAGUUUGAUUUCUAUUGGAUAGUUGAUAGAUGAUAAUUAUGAAAUUCGUUUUAAUCGUUCUGGUUGUAGUGUGUAGGAUCAAAUAUCGGGAAAAGUGAUCGCGAAGGGACCUAAAGUGGGAUGUUUAUUUCCUCUUCAAUUUUCCAUUUCUGAUUCCUUUGCAUCUACUGUUGUUGCUAUUGAUAGCAAUGUUUGGCAUAAGAAAUCAGGUCACCCCAAUUCUAAGGUCUUGACUUAUCUCAUAAAAAAUGGUUUUUUUGGCCAAUAAAGAUUCAUUUUCUCAUAUGUCUUCUGAUUGUAGUUAUUGUAAACUUGGUAAAAGCAAAACUUUACCUUUCCGUCACAUGCUAAUCGAGCUUUCACAUGUUUUGAGAUUAUUGAUACUGAUGUGUGGGGUGUAAGUCCUAUACCUUCUCAUUCUCAUUAUAAGUAUUUUGUAACAUUCAUUGACGACUAUAGUCGUUUCAGGUGAUGUGUUUUCCAGGUUUAAAAAUUUUGUUGCAUUUGUUGAGACCCAAUUUUCUACUCAUAUUAAGAUAUUAUGCUUUGAUUCGGGAGGGGAAUAGAUGUCUAAUGAAUUUCAAGAAUAUCUCAAAAUAAAAGAAUUCUCUCUCAGCGUUUGUGUUCUUGCACUCCCCAAUAGAAUGGGGUUGCUGAGCGUAAGUAUCAGCAUCUUUUAGAUGUUCGUACUUUAUUGAUUGAAUCUUCUGUGCCCCCUAAAUUUUGGGUAGAAACUUUAUCCAAAGUUGUUUAUUUGAUUAAUGGGCUUUCCUCUCCAAAUUUACAGCUCGAUUCUCCGUAUUCUCGUUUUUUCGAUGUUGCACCUAAGUAUAAUUAUCUUCAUGUGAUCGGCUGCGUUUGCUUUGCUCAUUUACCUUCCAUUGAAAAUCACAAGCUUACUGCACAGUCUACUCGAUGUGCGUUUCUCGGGUAUAAUAAUACACAAAAAGCGUUUAUAUGUUAUGAUCCUAAUGCUAACAAGCUACAUGUCUCUCGAAAUGUGGUUUUCUUUAAAACUCAAUAUUUCUUUCAAUCUUAUGUUGAUUUUCCUUCUACUUCUAUUCAACUACCUGAGUUUGAUGAUUUGUCUUAUACUAUUGAACGCUUUAAGCCUGGACUUGUGUACUAGAGAUGUCUUCUAUCGUCUCCAGUGCUUCCUUCUAACAUUGAACCAACGCCUGAUCCCGUCUUCACUGUACCUCAACGGUCUUCUCGAAUUUCACGACCUCCAGAUAAGUAUAGCUUCUCACAUACUACUCAUCAAGCUACUCUCGAUAUUAUUAUUGUGCCCAAAUCUUACUCUCAGGCUUCUAAUCAUGCAUGUUGGAGACAAGCUAUGCAAGAAGAACUUCAAGCACUUCAGGAUAAUCAUACAUGGGACAUCGUUCCAUGUCCUGAUGGAAUAAAGCUUAUUGGAUGCAAAUGAGUAUAUGCCAUCAAAAAUCGAUUUGAUAGUUCUGUAUAAAGGUAUAAGGCUUGAUUGGUGGCACUUGGAAAUCAUCAAGAAUAUGGCUUGAUUAUGAUGAAACAUUUGGACUUGUGGUGAAGAUGACUACUGUAAGAACUAUUAUGGCAAUCGCCGUGUCUAAAGGAUUGUCUCUCAAGCAAAUAGAUGUAAAGAAUGCGUUCUUACAUGGGGACUUGAAGGAGGAAAUUUUUAUGAGUCCUCCCCCUAGUAUGUUCAUUCACUCUUUCAUUGAGGUAUGUCGGUUGAAGCGGUCUCUGUAUGGAUUGAAGCAGGCCCCACGGGCA